UUGCUAUCUGCGAUAUGGAAGAUUCGAACCUGCCGCAGGUUCGGGUCUCACGUAGUGAGACAACGGAGCCGCUUGCGGCGACGGCCCGAAGGGCGAGCAAAGCGAGUCAUCCUGCACGAUCCACCA
rnacentral:sRNA from 1 species